rnacentral:rRNA from 1 species
GUCCACGCCUUAAACGAUGAGAGCUAGUUGUCAGUAAGCAUGCUUAUUGGUGACGCAGCUAACGCAUUAAGCUCUCCGCCUGGGGAGUACGGCCGCAAGGUUAAAACUCAAAGAAAUUGACGGGGGCCCGCACAAGCGGUGGAGCAUGUGGUUUAAUUCGAAGCAACGCGCAGAACCUUACCCACGUUUGACAUCCUGUGACCGCUGGAGAGAUCCAGUUUCCCGUAAGGGCACAGUGACAGGUGCUGCAUGGCUGUCGU